rnacentral:rRNA from 1 species
UACGGGGGGGGGCAAGCGUUUGUUCGGAAUUACUGGGCGUAAAGGGCUCGUAGGCGGCCAACUAAGUCGGACGUGAAAUCCCUCGGCUUAACCGGGGGAACUGCGUCCGAUACUGGAUGGCUUGAGUUCGGGAGAGGGAUGCGGAAUUCCAGGUGUAGCGGUGAAAUGCGUAGAUAUCUGGAGGAACACCGGUGGCGAAGGCGGCAUCCUGGACCGACACUGACGCUGAGGAGCGAAAGCCAGGGGAGCAAACGGGG